rnacentral:rRNA from 1 species
GACGAACCGUGCGAACGUUGUUCGGAAUCACUGGGCUUAAAGGGCGCGUAGGCGGCUCAUCAAGUCCGGGGUGAAAGCCCCCAGCUCAACUGGGAAGUGCCUCGGAUACUGGUGAGCUCGAGGGAGGUAGGGGCGGAUGGAACUUCCGGUGGAGCGGUGGAAUGCGCAGAUAUCAGGAAGAACACCCGUGGCGAAGGCGGUUCUCUGGGACGGUACUGACGACUGGAGACGCGAAAGCGUGGGGAGCGAACAGG